rnacentral:rRNA from 1 species
UACGAGGGGGGCGAGCGUUGUUCGGAAUUAUUGGGCGUAAAGGGUGCGUAGGCGGUUUGGUAAGUCUCUUGUGAAAUCUAUGGGCUCAACUCAUAGUCUGCAAGGGAAACUGCCGGGCUUGAGUGUGAGAGAGGUGAGUGGAAUUUCCGGUGUAGCGGUGAAAUGCGUAGAUAUCGGAAGGAACACCUGUGGCGAAAGCGGCUCACUGGACCACAACUGACGCUGAUGCACGAAAGCUAGGGGAGCAAACAGG